rnacentral:rRNA from 1 species
GGGGAAUAUUGCACAAUGGGCGAAAGCCUGAUGCAGCAACGCCGCGUGAGUGAUGAAGGUCUUCGGAUUGUAAAGCUCUGUCUUUUGGGACGAUAAUGACGGUACCAAAGGAGGAAGCCACGGCUAACUACGUGCCAGCAGCCGCGGUAAUACGUAGGUGGCGAGCGUUGUCCGGAUUUACUGGGCGUAAAGGGUGCGUAGGCGGAUGUUUAAGUGAGAUGUGAAGUACCCGGGCUUAACUUGGGUGCUGCAUUUCAAACUGGAUAUCUAGAGUGCAGGAGAGGAGAAUGGAAUUCCUAGUGUAGCGGUGAAAUGCGUAGAGAUUAGGAAGAACACCAGUGGCGAAGGCGAUUCUCUGGACUGUAACUGACGCUGAGGCACGAAAGCGUGGGUAGCAAACAGGAUUAGAUACCCUGGUAGUCCACGCCGUAAACGAUGAGUACUAGGUGUAGGAGGUAUCGACCCCUUCUGUGCCGCAGUAAACACAUUAAGUACUCCGCCUGGGAAGUACGAUCGCAAGAUUAAAAC